UACGAAGGGGGCUGGCGUUGCUCGGAAUCACUGGGCGUAAAGCGUGCGCAGGCGGUGAUGUAAGACAGGUGUGAAAUCCCCGGGCUUAACCUGGGAACUGCAUUUGUGACUGCAUCGCUGGAGUGCGGCAGAGGGGAUGGAAUUCCGCGUGUAGCAGUGAAAUGCGUAGAUAUGCGGAGGAACACCGAUGGCGAAGGCAAUCCCCUGGGCCUGCACUGACGCUCAUGCACGAAAGCGUGGGGAGCAAACAGG
rnacentral:rRNA from 1 species